rnacentral:rRNA from 1 species
UACGUAGGGAGCAAGCGUUGUUCGGAAUUACUGGGCGUAAAGAGUGUGUAGGCGGUGCUCUAAGUCUGUUGUGAAAUCUCCCGGCUUAACUGGGAGGGUGCGGCGGAGACUGGAGUGCUAGAGUGUGGGAGAGGUAAGCGGAAUUCCUGGUGUAGCGGUGAAAUGCGCAGAUAUCAGGAGGAACACCGGUGGCGAAGGCGGGUCUCUGGGCAGCAACUGACGCUGAGGAGCGAAAGCGUGGGGAGCGAACAGG